AACGAACGCUGGCGGCGCGCUUAACACAUGCAAGUCGAACGAGAAGGCGUAGCAAUACGCUGGUACAGUGGCGAACGGGUGAGGAAUACAUGGGUAACCUACCCUCGAGUGGGGGAUAACCCGCCGAAAGGCGGGCUAAUACCGCGUACGCUUCCGAUCUUGCGGGAUCGGAAGGAAAGCUGUCCCAAGGGGAUGGCGCUCAAGGAUGGGCUCAUGUCCUAUCAGCUUGNGGUAGGGUAACGGCCUACCAAGGCAUCGACGGUAGCUGGUCUGAGAGGACGAUCAGCCACACUGGCACUGCGACACGGGCCAGACUCCUACGGGAGGCAGCAGUGAGGAAUAUUGCGCAAUGGGCGAAAG
rnacentral:rRNA from 1 species